GCCCUCACUCGUUCGCCGCGCUCCGGGGUUGCGGCUCGCGUGUCACUCCGCCGAGCAAAAGUUGAAACUUUCACGCGCGAACUAAGUGUUGUGUUGUGUUAUACAACUCGUAUGUGAGAUAGGCGCGAAUUGACCAUUACACCGUUAAUAAAUAGUUCAAUGUUCCUUAAUUAGAAGUAUUAUAGCGUUGAACAUCGAAAUUAUAAGAUGCGCCGCAUGUAUCACUGUAUGAAAGAAAAGAAGAGCUGAUAGCAUCUGAAUUUAAUGAGAACUGGCUGAAUAGAAUGCGGUGAAAGAA
rnacentral:lncRNA from 1 species